rnacentral:lncRNA from 1 species
AGAAUACGUGUAAUUAUGUUGGUUUAUUCUUGAUUACCAAAAGCUUGUGUUCAUUACUUGUUGUUAAUUGAAGAACGAGUGAAUUUUUUUCAUCUUGUAUACUCAUGACAAUACACAUUAGACAGUGUGUUGUUCAUUCAAAUUUCAAAACAAUUGUUCUGCCAAAGAUCGGUAGUAUUUUCGAGCACUCAAGUCCUCCCCCUCCCCCUUCCACAAAAAAUAUCGCUGUGUUAUAGAAGUGAUUACUGAAAACAUUACACCUCAAAAUAGCAUGUUAAUAGAGAGUCCGUAUACAGACACUUCCUGUUUGUUGGCCAUUCUAUUGGACCAAUAUGAGCACAACAUACCCAAAUUUUGGACCUCAAUUCAGAAAAGUGCCGUAACCUGAACAACUUCAGUCAUGACAACUUUAAGUUUAAGCAAUUACACAUCAUUUGUACCUAUUGUAGACAAAAGCUUUGCCGUAGGAACUUAUUUUAUGAAAUAAAAAGGGAGGUGGUAGGGUCAUCCUAGCCCAACUUUGGAUUUUCAAUUUAAAA